rfam:Blautia sp. CAG:37, WGS project CBJJ01000000 data, contig: 252
GGAGUGGUCUCUGGAGAAGCUCUUGAAAAGAGUGCCGAAGGUGCAAUGCAGCGAUGCAGAAUCUCUCAGGCAAAAGGACAGAGUCAAAAAA